CCUACGGGAGGCAGCAGUGAGGAAUAUUGGUCAAUGGGCGAGAGCCUGAACCAGCCAAGUCGCGUGAGGGAGUACUGCCCUAUGGGUUGUAAACCUCUUUUGUCGGGGAGCAAAAGCCGGACGUGUCCGGCUGUGAGAGUACCCGAAGAAAAAGCAUCGGCUAACUCCGUGCCAGCAGCCGCGGUAAUACGGAGGAUGCGAGCGUUUUCCGGAUUUAUUGGGUUUAAAGGGUGCGCAGGCGGAUUUUUAAGUCAGCGGUAAAAUCGUGGGGCUCAACCCCAUCCAGCCGUUGAAACUGGGGAUCUAGAGUGGGCGAGAGGUAUGCGGAAUGCGUGGUGUAGCGGUGAAAUGCAUAGAUAUCACGCAGAACCCCGAUUGCGAAGGCAGCAUACCGGUGCACAACUGACGCUCAGGCACGAAAGCGUGGGUAUCGAACAGGAUUAGAAACCCCAGUAGUC
rnacentral:rRNA from 1 species